GGGCCUAUAAUUCAAGUGGUUAGAAUGCCACACUCAUAAUGUGGAAGUUGCUGGUUCAAGCCCGGCUGGGCCCA
rnacentral:tRNA from 1 species